GANCUGGGUGACUAGAGUGUGUCAGAGGGAGGUAGAAUUCCACGUGUAGCAGUGAAAUGCGUAGAGAUGUGGAGGAAUACCGAUGGCGAAGGCAGCNUCCUGGGAUAACACUGACGUUCAUGCCCGAAAGCGUGGGUAGCAAACAGGAUUAGAUACCCUGGUAGUCCACGCCCUAAACGAUGUCGAUUAGCUGUUGGGCAGCAUGACUGCUUAGUAGCGAAGCUAACGCGUGAAAUCGACCGCCUGGGGAGUACGGUCGCAAGAUUAAAACUCAAAGGAAUUGACGGGGACCCGCACAAGCGGUGGAUGAUGUGGAUUAAUUCGAUGCAACGCGAAGAACCUUACCUGGUCUUGACAUGUACGGAAUCCUCCAGAGACAGAGGAGUGCCUUCGGGAGCCGUAACACAGGUGCUGCAUGGCUGUCGUCAGCUCGUGUCGUGAGAUGUUGGGUUAAGUCCCGCAACGAGCGCAACCCUUGUCAUUAGUUGCCAUCAUUAAGUUGGGCACUCUAAUGAGACUGCCGGUGACAAGCCGGAGGAAGGUGGGGAUGACGUCAAGUCCUCAUGGCCCUUAUGACCAGGGCUUCACACGUCAUACAAUGGUCGGUACAGAGGGUAGCCAAGCCGCGAGGCGGAGCCAAUCUCACAAAACCGAUCGUAGUCCGGAUUGCACUCUGCAACUCGAGUGCAUGAAGUCGGAAUCGCUAGUAAUCGCAGGUCAGCAUACUGCGGUGAAUACGUUCCCGGGUCUUGUACACACCGCCCGUCACACCAUGGGAGUGGGGGAUACCAGAAGUAG
rnacentral:rRNA from 1 species